GGUCCGUUAGUCAAGGGGUUAAGACACCGCCUUUUCACGGCGGUAACACGGGUUCGAAUCCCGUACGGACUA
rnacentral:tRNA from 1 species